UACGAAGGGUGCAAGCGUUAAUCGGAAUUACUGGGCGUAAAGCGUGCGUAGGCGGUUUGUUAAGUCCGAUGUGAAAGCCCUGGGCUCAACCUGGGAAUUGCAUUGGAUACUGGCGAGCUAGAGUAAGGUAGAGGGUGGCGGAAUUCCCGGUGUAGCGGUGAAAUGCGUAGAGAUCGGGAGGAACAUCCGUGGCGAAGGCGGCCACCUGGACCAUUACUGACGCUGAGGCACGAAAGCGUGGGGAGCAAACAGG
rnacentral:misc_RNA from 1 species